AACUUUACUGACUUCUUCGGAAAGAUUUAAAGCGGAUUAGUGGCGGACGGGUGAGUAACGCGUGAGUAACCUGCCUUACACAAGGGGAUAGCCGUUGGAAACGACGAAUAAUACCCUAUAAAACUAUCACUUCGCAUGAAGCGAUAGUCAAAGUGUUAGCGGUGUAAGAUGGACUUGCGUCUGAUUAGCUAGUUGGUGAGAAAAAAGCCCACCAAGGCAACGAUCAGUAGCCGGCUUGAGAGAGUGUACGGCCACAUUGGGACUGAGACACGGCCCAGACUCCUACGGGAGGCAGCAGUGGGGAAUUUUGCACAAUGGGGGAAACCCUGAUGCAGCGACGCCGCGUGAUUUAGAAGGCCUUCGGGUUGUAAAAAUCUUUUGUAUAGGAAGAAAAUGACAGUACUAUACGAAUAAGGUCCGGCUAAUUACGUGCCAGCAGCCGCGGUAAUACGUAAGGACCGAGCGUUGUCCGGAAUCAUUGGGCGUAAAGGGUACGUAGGCGGGUCAUUAAGUUAGAAGUCAAAGGCUAUAGCUCAACUAUAGUAAGCUUCUAAAACUGGAGACCUUGAGUAAUGGAAGGGAAAGUGGAAUUCCUAGUGUAGCGGUGGAAUGCGCAGAUAUUAGGAGGAAUACCGGUGGCGAAGGCGACUUUCUGGCCA
rnacentral:rRNA from 2 species